rnacentral:rRNA from 1 species
UGACCUGCGGAAGGAUCAUUAUUGUGGGGACCUCGGUCCUUCCAAGAUGCAACCCUUGCCUUUUUCAAGCGUCUCUCUGUUUCCUCGGCAGCUGCGCCUGCCAGCGAGGACCCUUAAAAACCUUUUGCAAUCCCCGUACAAACUUCUGAAAAUACCAAAAAAACGUUAAAACUUUCAACAAUGGAUCUCUUGGCUCUGGCAUCGAUGAAGAACGCAGCGAAAUGCGAUAAGUAGUGUGAAUUGCAGAAUUCAGUGAAUCAUCGAAUCUUUGAACGCACAUUGCGCCCUUUGGUAUUCCUUUGGGCAUGCCUGUUCGAGCGUCAUUUCAAAAUUCAAGCUCAGCUUGGUGAUGGGCGUCUGUCCCGCCAUCGUGCGCGGACUCGCCUCAAAAGCAGUUGGCAGCUCCCCACUCGGCUCUAAACGCAGCAGAUUUGCGUGGCGUGGCGAGGAGAGGGGCUUACCAGUAAGCAAAACCACCCCAGAUUGACCUCGGAUCAGGUAGGGAUACCCGCUGAACUUAAGCAUAUCAAUAAGCGGAGGAAAAGAAACCAACAGGGAUUGCCCUAGUAACGGCGAGUGAAGCGGCAACAGCUCAAAUUUGAAAUCUGGCUCUCUUGCGGGGUCCGAGUUGUAAUUUGCAGAGGGUGCUUUGGCGUCGGCUGUGGUCUAAGUUCCUUGGAACAGGACGUCGCAGAGGGUGAGAAUCCCGUAUGUGGCCGCCAGCCUUCGCCGUGUAAAGCCCCUUCGACGAGUCGAGUUGUUUGGGAAUGCAGCUCUAAAUGGGAGGUAAAUUUCUUCUAAAGCUAAAUAUCUGCCAGAGACCGAUAGCGCACAAGUAGAGUGAUCGAAAGAUGAAAAGCACUUUGGAAAGAGAGUCAAAAAGCACGUGAAAUUGUUGAAAGGGAAGCGCUUGCAGUUAGACAUGCCUUUAGUUGCUCAGCCAGGCUCUUCGGCCUGGUGCACUCUUCUAUCGGCAGGCCAGCAUCAGUCUGGGCGGUUGGAUAAAGGCCUAUUAAACGUGACUCCCCUCGGGGAGAGCUUAUAGGGUAGGCGCCAUGCAACCAGUCCAGACUGAGGUCCGCGCAUCUGCUAGGAU